rnacentral:rRNA from 1 species
CCUACCAAGGCGAGGAUCUGUAGCGGGUCUGAGAGGAUGAUCCGCCACACUGCGACUGAGACACGGCCCAGACUCCUACGGGAGGCAGCAGUGGGGAAUAUUGGACAAUGGGGGGAACCCUGAUCCAGCCAUGCCGCGUGUGUGAAGAAGGCCUUAUGGUUGUAAAGCACUUUAAGCGAGGAGGAGGCUACUUUAGUUAAUACCUAGAGAUAGUGGACGUUACUCGCAGAAUAAGCACCGGCUAACUCUGUGCCAGCAGCCGCGGUAAUACAGAGGGUGCAAGCGUUAAUCGGAUUUACUGGGCGUAAAGCGCGCGUAGGCGGCUGAUUAAGUCAAAUGUGAAAUCCCCGAGCUUAACUUGGGAAUUGCAUUCGAUACUGGUUAGCUAGAGUGUGGGAGAGGAUGGUAGAAUUCCAGGUGUAGCGGUGAAAUGCGUAGAGAUCUGGAGGAAUACCGAUGGCGAAGGCAGCCAUCUGGCCUAACACUGACGCUGACGUGCGAAAGCAUGGGGAGCAAACAGGAUUAGAUACCCUGGUAGUCCAUGCCGUAAACGAUGUCUACUAGCCGUUGGGGCCUUUGAGGCUUUAGUGGCGCAGCUAACGCGAUAAGUAGACCGCCUGGGGCGUACGGUCGCAAGACUAAAACUCAAAUGAAUUGACGGGGGCCCGCACAAGCGGUGGAGCAUGUGGUUUAAUUCGAUGCAACGCGAAGAACCUUACCAGGCCUUGACAUAGUAAGAACUAUCCAGAGUUGGAUUGGUGCCUUCGGGAACUUACAUACAGGUGCUGCAUGGCUGUCGUCAGCUCGUGUCGUGAGAUGUUGGGUUAAGUCCCGCAACGAGGGCAACCCUUUUCCUUAUUUGCCAGCGAGUAAUGUCGGGAACUUUAAGGA